GACAGAGGGUGCAAACGUUGCUCGGAAUUACUGGGCGUAAAGCGCGUGUAGGCGGACCGUUAAGUCUGUCGUGAAAGCCCCGGGCUCAACCUGGGAAUGGCGAUGGAUACUGGCUCGCUAGAGUGCGGUAGGGGAGACUGGAAUUCCUGGUGUAGCGGUGAAAUGCGCAGAUAUCAGGAGGAACACCGGUGGCGAAGGCGGGUCUCUGGGCCGUAACUGACGCUGAGGCGCGAAAGCCAGGGGAGCAAACGGG
rnacentral:rRNA from 1 species